GACGAACGCUGGCAGCGUGCUUAACACAUGCAGGUCGAACGAUGAACCCGGAGCUUGCUCCGGUGGAUUAGUGGCGAACGGGUGAGUAACACGUGAGUAACCUGCCCUUGACUCUGGGAUAACUGCGGGAAACUGUAGCUAAUACCGGAUACGACCCUCGGCGGCAUCGCCAGGGGGUGGAAAGAAUUUCGGUCAAGGAUGGACUCGCGGCCUAUCAGCUAGUUGGUGAGGUAAUGGCUCACCAAGGCGACGACGGGUAGCCGGCCUGAGAGGGUGACCGGCCACACUGCGACUGAGACACGGCCCAAACUCCUACGGGAGGCAGCAGUGGGGAAUAUUGCACAAUGUGCGCAAGCCUGAUGCAGCAACGCCGCGUGGGGGAUGACCGCCGUCGGGUUGUAAACCUCGUUUAGUAGGGAAGAAGCGAAAGUGACGGUACCUGCAGAAAAAGCACCGGCUAACUACGUGCCAGCCGCCGCGGUAA
rnacentral:rRNA from 1 species